UCCUGAAAGUACCAUCUUCUGCACAUAAGGUCAACACCUUUUACACCAAAGAGGACACUGGACUAGCCAGAGUCGUUCUGUGCGAGCCGACCCCAAGCUACCCGGUGGAACAAGUUGUUUUUCACAGACAGUGCAAUUCUUCCAUUUUCACCAUUUUACCUUCAGUGUAUCCCAGCAAUGAAAGAUGCGUUGACACACGUCAUCGUCCUCACACAGGCUUGCAGCCACAACGCUCCGCUGAAGGAGCGACGGACAACAGGUGCAAUGCAGAAAGCAGUGGUUCAAGUAACACGUUGCACAGUGAACACCACGCUUACCCGCAAAUCGCAGUAAUCGACAGCCACACCAGCAGUAUUUGUAGUCUUUUGAGGAAUCCGGUCCUUUAUCUCCUUAUUGUAGCAUUCGGCUAUGCUGAAUACCUCUCAAACACUUUCGAAGCGACAGUGCUUGACUACGCUUUGGACAAGGGCGCCGAAAAAAAAGUGGCACUACCUAUCGUUACCUAUGUUGCCACUGCGGAAAUGGCAGGCCGUAUGGCUCUACCCUUCUUCUGGGAUCUGCUACGUCUUCGCCGCAGCCUCCUAGCGGCUCUGUGCCUGCUGGGAGCUUCAGUUGGUCUCAUCACCAUGCCACACGCCGUAUCUUUCAGCGACGUUGUUGCAGCUGCGGUGGCUACGGGACUGACCACUGGCUGCGCUGUAGCUAUGAAGCCCGUGCUCCUGAGCGACUGUCUUGGCGUUCAUGCAUUGUCCUUUUGCUGGGGCAUUACCGGAAUCGUCACACUGCCACUUAGCCUGGGUGGAACAGCGUUAAUAGGUCUCUUCCGAGAUACCAUGGGAUCGUAUGACAACCUCUACCGAACGCUCUCAGCUCUGUGUUUAGUGUUCGCACUGCUAUUAUUUGGCCUGGCAUAUACUGAAGCACGGAAGCAGAAGGCAGAAAAAAUUAUAAAUGUUAGCGCUUAAGUCGCCGGUUCACAUAUCACACCAUUGUGAAAAUGCCAACGACAGCGCGACGAUCUCACCUACUUAGAGUAAGCGUCGCAGGGGAAGUGCUGCACAUGUGCGGACGCAGUGGCCGUAAACAGGAGGAACGCGACACGAGAAACCCGACAAUACAGAAAGCUGACAUUUUUGAACCCCUGGAUCCGGACUGGAUCAGCAUCCUCAAAAAGAACUCUCAAGACAGUUGGCCUGCGAUGAUUGCGCACUAAGCUGCAGUUAUCUCUCAGCAGCGUCGCGAACCAUGCUUCGAGGGAUCCUUUGGUAUUGUUCUAGCUCUGUAACCCUAUCCUCCUGACAGUUUUUGCUCUGUAACCAUUGUAGAACUUCCAAAAAGACGUUGCCCAA